rnacentral:rRNA from 1 species
AGGAUUAACGCUGGCGGCGUGCAUGAAACAUGCAAGUCGAGCGCGGUGUGAUGCGGGGUAACCCAAUUCACAUCUAGCGGCGAACGGGUGAGUAACACGUGAGCAACCUACCUUUGAGUUGGGGAUAGCCCUGGGAAACCAGGAUUAAUACCCGAUGUGGUCACAACAGGACAUCCUGAUGUGAGUAAAGGCGUAAGCCGCUCAAUGACGGGCUCGCGGCCUAUUAGCUUGUUGGUGGGGUAACGGCCUACCAAGGCGAUGAUGGGUAGCUGGUCUGAGAGGACGAUCAGCCACACUGGGACUGAGACACGGCCCAGACUCCUACGGGAGGCAGCAGUUAGGAAUUUUCCGCAAUGGGCGAAAGCCUGACGGAGCAACGCCGCGUGAGUGAUGAAGACCUUCGGGUUGUAAGCUCUGUCGGAGGGAAGAACACAAUGACGGUACCCUCCAAGAAACGCCCGGCUAACUACGUGCCAGCAGCCGCCGGUAA